rnacentral:rRNA from 1 species
ACUCCUACGGGAGGCAGCAGUGGGGAAUAUUGCACAAUGGGCGCAAGCCUGAUGCAGCCAUGCCGCGUGUGUGAAGAAGGCCUUCGGGUUGUAAAGCACUUUCAGUCGUGAGGAAGGUGGUAGUGUUAAUAGCACUAUCAUUUGACGUUAGCGACAGAAGAAGCACCGGCUAACUCCGUGCCAGCAGCCGCGGUAAUACGGAGGGGUGCGAGCGUUAAUCGGAAUUACUGGGCGUAAAGCGCAUGCAGGUGGUUUGUUAAGUCAGAUGUGAAAGCCCGGGGCUCAACCUCGGAAUAGCAUUUGAAACUGGCAGACUAGAGUACUGUAGAGGGGGUAGAAUUUCAGGUGUAGCGGUGAAAUGCGUAGAGAUCUGAAGGAAUACCGGUGGCGAAGGCGGCCCCCUGGACAGAUACUGACACUCAGAUGCGAAAGCGUGGGGAGCAAACAGGAUUAGAUACCCUGGUAGGAUAGCG